rnacentral:rRNA from 1 species
CCCAGUGCACUUUUCCAGUCCAGGCCAGCAUCAGUUUUCCCCGGGGGAUAAAGGCGGCGGGAAUGUGGCUCUCUUCGGGGAGUGUUAUAGCCCACCGUGUAAUACCCUGGGGGGGACUGAGGUUCGCGCAUCUGCAAGGAUGCUGGCGUAAUGGUCAUCAACGACCCGUCUUGAAACACGGACCAAGGAGUCAAGUCAACCA